GUGUUUUAUGAAAACAGAGAAGGUCAACACUCCCUUGGUAAGGAUGUAAAAGGGCCUAGUGGACUGUACAAUACACAUAUGGUUAAUACAUGGCCAUUUACUUUGUAGCAUCUGACCACAUUUUUGG